AGAGGACGACAUUAGGGAAUGUGCAACCACUGUUCACGCUGCCAAUUCUAAUGUUCUGUCCGGGAUUGGAUUUUCUCGCCCCGUUUUUCACCAUGACGGUUCAAAAGGAGGGGGUGGGAGUGGGAACAUUUCUGCCUUGCUGAGUGGUGUUCCGCGGGAUGUUAAUAUGCAACUGUUACAGGUAACCUCAGGAAUGACCUUUAGCAGUAAGACAAUUGGCGGCAAUUUGAAUUCUAAGGUUAAAUCUGCUGUGAUGAAGGGUUCAACACUAAUGAAACCUACUGCUAGUCUGUUGGCUAAGCAAAAUCAGCCCCAUCCAAUUGUUAGCUCAAGGUUGGUGAUGUGAAGCAGCAAGUUAAUUUUGUCCACAAGGCACCUAAGAAGGUAAGGGUUGUAAUGCAAUUAAUUUCAACGUCUUC